GAUGAAGAACGUAGCGAAAUGCGAAAAGUAAUGUGAAUUGCAGAAUUCAGUGAACCAUCGAAUCUUUGAACGCACAUUGCGCCCGCUGGAACUCCGGCGGGCACGCCUGUCCGAGCGUCAUUUCAACCCUCAGGCCCCCCUUCGCGGGCGGGCCUGGUGUUGGGGCCCGGCCGCUACCCUGCGGCCGUCCCCUAAAUUCAGUGGCGGCCUCGCCGUGAUCCCUUGCGUAGUAAUGCACCUCGCACCGGAGAGCGCCGUGGCCACGCAGUAAAACCCCCAAUUUUCAAUGGUUGACCUCGGAUCAGGUGGGAAUACCCGCUGAACUUAAGCAUAUCAAUAAGCGGAGGA
rnacentral:misc_RNA from 1 species